AAGUAUUAUCAAACACUAUCAGAGUCCACUGAACGAAUUUGAAUACGGAUCGGAACGGAAUCCGAACGGAAUCGAAGCAGUGCAUUGCGCAGAGCAUUGUCAAAAUGGUGCGAAACAAAGCAGAAUUUGUGCAACGCGGAGCGAAACAAUAUCGAAGCGUGAUACAGAUCUUCUCAAUUUUCUCUUCGGAUAAAGACGAGUCUCUCGCGGAGAGUUUCGUGCUCGGGGGGUCGAGAAACAAGUGGAUCGAACAGGCCCAUGGAACACGGGCUCGUAAAUAAGGAUGGUGAAACAUGGCCGCGAAAUAAAUUCACCACCGACUAGGCGAAGCGGUUCGAUAAGGGGCCCGAUAAUAGAUGUGUGGCGAUCCUCGAGACGCGAGCCCCGAUAUAAUUCACGCUGCGAAACGUUCUUUUGAAAAAUCUGUUGAUUUACGACGGCACGUUGAUUCGUGUGUGGGGAUGCAUAAUGAACAGAAGUUGACGAGGCGAGAUCAGAUUAUGAUAGUAGGAUCGUAUUUAACGCGACGAUGCUCUAGAUAUCGGUAUCCAGAAAUUUGAGGAUGCCUAUGAUUUUGCGUUUAGGAUUCUCCAAUGAAUCUGGUUUUUCAAGGAUGGAAGUCUCGAGACUACUUUAUUGAUCGUUCGAACGCUAUCAUGUAAAUGGGAUAACGGAGCAGUGGUUUGUUAUUACGCUAUUAUAUUAUGAGUUACGCUCGGGAAAUUAAACGUAACAAUAUACUCGUUGCUACGUGAUAAAGGUUUUUAUUCAAGAGUCUACGUAAUCUUUUUAAUGAAAUGACUUUAAUCGCAUCGUGAUGUAUUAUUAUCUUGGAAAUAUCGUUAUAAUAGAACAUUUUUUGCGGUCAAUAAAUUAAAUCUUCGUUACAAACGGCGAUAAUAAUCAAUCGCAACAAAUUUCAAUCUUCGAUGAUAAAAGAGUGAAUCUUCGCUCUUCCACCGUUCUCAGAAAAUAAAAACAUCGAAAGGAUUCUCCUAACUCGUUUUCCAAUUCUCGUAUUAUCUACAAAUUAAUUCAAUCAUCUUCUGUAUCUAUCUCUAUUCCUCGAUACAUUAAAAUUGUCGAGGAAAAUUAAUAAAAAUCUCCAACUUUAUCUUUCCUUGUAUAGUCUCCCGAUUCGGACCGUAGCAUACUAUGCACCCUAUUUUCAAAACAGAGAAACCUCAACCUCGAUCGCACGGUGAGACGACCGCGCUCCUCCAACUAACGGCUGUUAACAUUAUUCGCGGUUGGCGUUAUCCGCUCGCUGUUGCGCAGGCGCCUUCGCGCCGGUUGUCGCGCUUCGCCUUCACUUAACAUACGCACGACGCUCGCGCUCGACACACUCGACACUCGGUGAACCAAAACAAACCAGUGGCCGCGCGCGCGCACCACGCUCGAGCGGGACGAGGAAGAGAGCAGGAAGGAUGGAAGAGUGGCCGAGAGGGCGGGCGGGCGAGACGGGUGGAGGGAUCGUGGAAAGAGGCGAAACCGAGAAAGAGAGGAGAGAAACCCGCCUCCGUACGCAUUAACACCCUCGAAAGGCCUUCCUUCUCGAGCUCUGGCCUCGCGUCAAAUUGUACUACGUAGGUAUACGCGGACAAAAGAACGAGUCGACGAUCGUUUUUCGGACAGGGAUUCGUUGGACAGGGAAGAUGGCAAGGGAUUUCUUUUGGCGAACGAGAAGAAAUUAGAAAAUGGAAAUGAAAAA